GGUAUGAGCCAUUUAGCACUUGGCAGAAUGAAAAUGGGAGUAGACUUGCAGAAAAGGAUCUAAAGCCUGGUCUUUCAAGGCAAGGGAAGCUCUUUAUCAUGGCCAACUUUAAGGUAGUGUUUGUUUGCAGAAAAAGCGGAAGGAUGAAAAGGCAGGGAGGAAAGAAGGUGAAGGAAGGUUCAACUUCAACUUUCCUUGUUUGGUUGGGUGAAAAUUUUUC
rnacentral:misc_RNA from 1 species